GAGGCCAAUGAAAAGCCCAACGAAGGAAUGAAGACUCAGAACCACCACUGCAUUACUUUGAAGGUGGAUGGGCAUAAUACAUCUGGGGUGUAGUUUAAGCUUAGGUAGUAUACACCACUUAGUAAACUAAUGAAAGCCUAUUGUCAUUGAGGCAGAUCAAAUUCCAAUCAAUAAAACAGGCACACGUGCACAGUUAAAUACAAGGAUGAAGAUACAACUGAUGUAUUCCAGCAGCAGACAGGAGGCGUCUACUAA
rnacentral:lncRNA from 1 species